UGGGGAAUUUUGGACAAUGGGCGCAAGCCUGAUCCAGCAAUGCCGCGUGCAGGAUGAAGGCCUUCGGGUUGUAAACUGCUUUUGUACGGAGCGAAAAGGUCUGCCCUAAUACGGUGGGCUCAUUACGGUACCGUAAGAAUAAGCACCGGCUAACUACGUGCCAGCAGCCGCGGUAAUACGUAGGGUGCGAGCGUUAAUCGGAAUUACUGGGCGUAAAGCGUGCGCAGGCGGUUAUAUAAGACAGAUGUGAAAUCCCCGGGCUCAACCUGGGACCUGCAUUUGUGACUGUAUAGCUAGAGUACGGUAGAGGGGGAUGGAAUUCCGUGUGUAGCAGUGAAAUGCGUAGAUAUGCGGAGGAACACCGAUGGCGAAGGCAAUCCCCUGGACCUGUACUGACGCUCAUGCACGAAAGCGUGGGGAGCAAACA
rnacentral:rRNA from 1 species